UGGGGAAUAUUGGACAAUGGGCGCAAGCCUGAUCCAGCCAUGCCGCGUGAGUGAUGAAGGCCCUAGGGUUGUAAAGCUCUUUCGCCAGGGACGAUAAUGACGGUACCUGGAUAAGAAGCCCCGGCUAACUUCGUGCCAGCAGCCGCGGUAAUACGAAGGGGGCUAGCGUUGUUCGGAAUCACUGGGCGUAAAGCGCACGUAGGCGGAUCUUUAAGUCAGGGGUGAAAUCCCGAGGCUCAACCUCGGAACUGCCUUUGAUACUGGAGGUCUCGAGUUCGGGAGAGGUGAGUGGAACUGCGAGUGUAGAGGUGAAAUUCGUAGAUAUUCGCAAGAACACCAGUGGCGAAGGCGGCUCACUGGCCCGAUACUGACGCUGAGGUGCGAAAGCGUGGGGAGCAAAACAGGAUUAGAUACCCUGGUAGUCCACGCCGUAAACGAUGGAUGCUAGCCGUUGGGGAGCUUGCUCUUCAGUGGCGCAGCUAACGCUUUAAGCAU
rnacentral:rRNA from 1 species